UUAUUUGCAGUUGCGUUAUCAUUGCCUCUCCACUUAGUAUGAGUUUUGUACGUGUAUUAAUCAUAGCGUUUUCUUUGUGAGGGUCUAGAUAAAGUGCAUCGGCUAGACAACGUACCACUGUGCAUAAUCUGUGCUAUAAAGCUGCCGAUUUCAAAAGGGAAUUUAAUGUGAACGACAUUGGAAUACAAAAUAAUUUGUCUUUUCGACAACAGAUAAAAACAGAUGGUGUUGUUUUUGACCAAUAUGUAGAGACAAAAGUACUUUUACUGGGUCAGUGACGGUUGAAUCUACUGCGAAAAAUGCGCAUUAUUACUGGCAACAGACGAAUGUCAAAUAGCAGUGGAAUACAAAUACACGGAUAACUGUAGAAUGGUUCAACAUCAUUACAAUUGUUCUCGAAACCUGGAAGUAUAAAAAUAUAAUGAGUAAGUAGUAAGUGAUGAGAAAAAAUUUAAAUUAGAAAUAAAGUUGCUUGUAUCAUUUACACUUUAUGUUACCAUAGUAAU